rnacentral:rRNA from 1 species
UACGAAGGGUGCAGACGUUGCUCGGAAUUAUUGGGCGUAAAGCGCACGUAGGCGGCUUAGCAAGUCGGAAGUGAAAUCCCUCGGCUCAACCAAGGAAGUGCUUUCGAAACUGCUGAGCUUGAGUACUUAAGAGGAUCGCGGAAUUCCCGGUGUAGAGGUGAAAUUCGUAGAUAUCGGGAGGAACACCAGUGGCGAAGGCGGCGAUCUGGGAAGAUACUGACGCUGAGACGCGAAAGCGUGGGGAGCGAACAGG